rnacentral:rRNA from 1 species
CAAAGAAGGUAAUAAUCCUGUAGUCGAAAAUGUUGUCUCUCUUGAGUGGAUCCUGAGUACGACGGAGCACGUGAAAUUCCGUCGGAAUCUGGGAGGACCAUCUCCUAAGGCUAAAUACUCUCUAGUGACCGAUAGUGAACCAGUACCGUGAGGGAAAGGUGAAAAGCACCCCGGAAGGAGAGUGAAAUAGAACCUGAAACCGUGUGCUUACAAGUAGUCAGAGCCCGUUAAUGGGUGAUGGCGUGCCUUUUGUAGAAUGAACCGGCGAGUUACGAUUUGAUGCAAGGUUAAGCAGUAAAUGUGGAGCCGUAGCGAAAGCGAGUCUGAAUAGGGCGUUUAGUAUUUGGUCGUAGACCC